rnacentral:lncRNA from 1 species
CUUAGCAAGAGGGAGGUUGAUCAGGCAAAGCACAGAGCAUGUUUCACGGUCUAUUCUGAGGGUGGGGACAGACAAAAGAUAAAGAGAGAAACUUUAAAUUCACUGUGGACGGUGACUGCAGCCAUGAAAUUAAAAGACUCUUGCUCCUUGGAAGAAAAACUACAACAAACCUAGAUAGCAUAUUAAAAAAUAGAGACAUUAUUUUGUCAACAAAGGUCCAUAUAGCCAAAGCUACGGUUUUUCCAGAAGUCAGGCAUGGAUGCGAAAGCUGGAACAUAAAGCAGGCAAGAACUGAUGCUUUCAAAUUGUGGUGUCAGAGAAAACUCUUGAGACUUCCUUGGACUGCAAGGAGAUCAAACCAAUUCUAAAGGAAAUCAAGCCAGAAUUGAAAGGACUGAUGCUGAAGCUGAAGUUCCAAUACUCUGGUCACCUGAUGUGAAGAACUGACCCCUUGGAAAAGACCCUGACGCUGGGAGAGAUGGAAGGCAGGAGGAGAAGGGGACGACAGAGGAUGAGACGGUUGGAUGGCAUCACCGACUCGAUGGACAUGAGUUGAGCAAGCUCCGGGAGUUGGUGAUGGCAGGGAGGCCUGGCGUGCUGCAGUCCGUGGGGUCACAAAAGGGUUGGACACGACUGCGCGACUGAACGACAACAAAAACUAAGACAAAGUGAAGACAGGACCGCGCCUGAGCACGGCUGUUUCCACAGGGUUCAGUCCUGAAGCCACUCUCCGCGCGCCGGCGUGUGAUGAGGCGGUCUUCAGAUUCAUCGUCUGCAAUGGCGGCGCUGCGCACAGGCCUCCUCUAAUCUGGAGCCUAUUGUGUUUCAUCAGCUUCUCUCUAAGGACCGCGCAGCUGGAUCCUGCGGAUCUUGGCACGUGCUGUGAACACCAUUUACUCCUAAGAGCGUCUGAUUUCCUCUCCACCCGGCAGUCCCGAAGCGGCCAGAAGUGCGGUCGCGUGGGGAACUUGAGAAGUGCCGACUCACCUGCCCUCCAUUCCCCCAUUUUACAGAUGGAGAAACUGAGGCACGGAGCCUCCCCACGACUUGCAGAGGUCCUGCAGGGCAGUUGACCAACCCCUGGGGUGUGGGGGGCGGGGUGAGCCUUCUCCUCCGCCCCUUUGGGGAAGCCUGCGGGGUCCCUUCCCAGCACACGAUUUGUAAAUGUGUAAAAUAAAAGGCUUCGUGCCGCAGAGCA